GACGAACGCUGGCGGCGUGCUUAACACAUGCAAGUCGAACGGAAAGGCCCUGCUUGCCGGGUACUCGAGUGGCGAACGGGUGAGUAACACGUGGGUGAUCUGCCCUGCACUUCGGGAUAAGCCUGGGAAACUGGGUCUAAUACCGGAUAGGAGCCAUUUUUAGUGUGAUGGUUGGAAAGUUUUUUCGGUGUAGGAUGAGCUCGCGGCCUAUCAGCUUGUUGGUGGGGUAAUGGCCUACUAAGGCGGCGACGGGUAGCCGGCCUGAGAGGGUGGACGGCCACAUUGGGACUGAGAUACGGCCCAGACUCCUACGGGAGGCAGCAGUGGGGAAUAUUGCACAAUGGGCGCAAGCCUGAUGCAGCGACGCCGCGUGGGGGAUGACGGCCUUCGGGUUGUAAACUCCUUUCGCUAGGGACGAAGCUUUUUGUGACGGUACCUAGAGAAGAAGCACCGGCUAACUACGUG
rnacentral:rRNA from 1 species